GAGGCAGCUUCAGCCCGGAGGAGGUGCGGGAGCUGCGAGAAGCCACACUGAAGGAGGUGGACAUCCUGCGCAAGGUCUCAGGGCACCCCAACAUCAGAUGAAGAGAGGGGAGCUCUUUGACUACCUCACUGAGAAGGUCACCUUGAGUGAGAAGGAAACCAGAAAGAUCAUGCGAGCUCUGCUGGAGGUGAUCUGCACCUUGCACAAACUCAACAUCGUGCACCGGGACCUGAAGCCCGAGAACAUUCUCUUGGAUGACAACAUGAACAUCAAGCUCACAGACUUUGGCUUUUCCUGCCAGCUGGAGCCGGGAGAGAGGCUGCGAGGUCUGGUAACAUGGCCUUGGCCCACGUCCGGUCCUCGGGUGCUCAAUCAACCCUUCGCGGAAUAGAGAUGGCCUGGGUUUCUCCCCUAACUUAAUUGUUCCCCGGAAUAAAAAUUCCACCAUUUCAA
rnacentral:sRNA from 1 species